UACAGAGGGUGCGAGCGUUAAUCGGAAUUACUGGGCGUAAAGCGUGCGUAGACGGUUAUGUAAGUCGGAUGUGAAAGCCCCGGGCUCAACCUGGGAAUGGCAUUCGAGACUGCAUAGCUAGGAUGCGGAAGAGGGAAGCGGAAUUUCCGGUGUAGCGGUGAAAUGCGUAGAUAUCGGAAGGAACACCAGUGGCGAAGGCGGCUCACUGGACUGGUACUGACGCUGAGGCGCGAAAGCGUGGGGAGCAAACAGG
rnacentral:rRNA from 1 species